rnacentral:lncRNA from 1 species
AAGUCAUCUCUCUCCUUUGACCAUCCUCGCAACAGCAGUCAGUCUCACUUGCUUUCCUUCAGCACCCCUUCCACCCUAUUCUCCCGCUCUACAUCCCUGAAACCCUUACCAGCUAGCGUCAGCGACAAUGGUCAGUGCAGAGAGAUGAAGAGGGUAAAUACAUCACGUUUCAUUGCAAUUUCGGCUAUGCCAUCGAAAAAUGACGGGGGCUGAGAACUUCGAGGAAAAUAAUCUAGGGACUGAAGACGGUUAAUGAGUAAUCACAAAUUCUUAUCACCUAACGCACAAGUUGAUCAGAGCGGUCCAGCUGUCUUGGCAUAACCUAUUUAAUUUAUUUCCAUUAUGACUGCACAUUUACUGUAGGCUAUGUCGCAGCGGGAGGAUAUUUGAAAAGGGUAGGUUGCUAAGAGAGAGAGAUAGAGAGACUUGGCAGCACAUUAUUAUAAUGAUGGUGAGUGACUGAUCCACACUUGACGCUGGCGACUUAAUUUGGAACUCAAGCAAGGGCGAUUUUGUCGUUUCGUCUGCUUCUGGAGGGCAUCGGGACGAACCUGCAAAUUGCCUGAACAACGCUAUGAGAGGCGCACAAAAGAAAGCCUGGGAGAAAAAGACGACUGGUGUAAAGGCGACUGUCAGAGACUGACACUUCCGCAUCGUACCAAACCACAGGUGUGGCUGGAGAGAGAUUUCAGCCACUCUGAUCAGCACAGAGAGGGAGCUGUCUCUACUGAUGUCAGAACAAGACCACCUAAAAUAAACUUUCACAAAAGUUUCAAGAACGCUACCCUCAUACAAGCAAGGCUGAAGAUAUCAAGUCUUUGAAGUAGACUGAGUAUCAUGUCUUGUGAUUGGCCUCAGUUUGUUUUUAGAAUAUCAAGUCCAAUGGUUGACACGGCCAGGGUUUAAUGCUCCCAAUGCUGUUAAUUCAAGAACACAUUUCUGUCUUCGUAGAAGAUUAAAGUACUUGGUGGGAUUCAUUUUUGGUAAAGGAACAGAGGUAUAGAAUGGGGCAACAGAAUCUUACCCGAGGCUAAACCCUGAUAUAGCAACCCACUUCUUCUCUUUUUAGAUCAGUCAAAAAUAUCCAGUCUCCUAAAUAUAUUCCAGCCCCUUCCGCCCAGCUUUGAGAGGGAAAUGGACAAGAUGAUGUGGACUCAGCUGAGAAUGUGGAGUCUCAGUUCCGAUCUGGAUAUGGCUUUGAGAUCAGACAUUCCGGGAAUCAACGCGAGGGCUCUACUGGGAUAGAGUAUACCCUGGUACUCACACAGCCAGCAGCAUUUACUCAGUGAUUUUUUUAAUGGGAAAAUUCAAGCCCACACCAAGGCCUAAGGCAAGUGUACAGUAGGGCUGCCUGCAAGCGUGGUGGUCUGAAUCCUUGAGGUGAACUGUUCUUUUCAUCCACUGCACCAGGACCCACACGCUCCAGGACCCACACGCUCCAGGACACACCACUCCAACCCACAACUCCAGGACCCACCACGUAACACCCCCGACCAGCCGACCCACAACACUCCAG